GAGAACCUGCCUUGGGGAUGGGGACAACGGUUGGAAACGACCGCUAAUUCCCAAUAAGCCGAGAGGUAAAACAGAAUCUGCCCGAAGAGGGGCUCGCGUCUGAUUAGCUAGUUGGUGGGGUAAGAGCUUACCAAGGCAGCGAUCAGUAGCUGGUCUGAGAGGAUGAGCAGCCACACUGGGACUGAGACACGGCCCAGACUCCUACGGGAGGCAGCAGUGGGGAAUUUUCCGCAAUGGGCGAAAGCCUGACGGAGCAAGACCGCGUGAGGGAGGAAGGCCUUUGGGUUGUAAACCUCUUUUCUCAGGGAAGAAGCAAGUGACGGUACCUGAGGAAUCAGCCUCGGCUAACUCCGUGCCAGCAGCCGCGGUAAUACGGAGGAGGCAAGCGUUAUCCGGAAUUAUUGGGCGUAAAGCGUCCGCAGGUGGUGAUUCAAGUCCGCUGUCAAAGACCGGGGCUCAACCCUGGGCCGGCAGUAGAAACUGAAGCACUAGAGUUCGGUAGGGGUAGAGGGAAUUCCCAGUGUAGCGGUGAAAUGCGUAGAGAUUGGGAAGAACACCAGUGGCGAAAGCGCUCUACUGGGCCGAGACUGACACUCAGGGACGAAAGCUAGGGGAGCGAAAGGGAUUAGAUACCCCUGUAGUCCUAGCCGUAAACGAUGGAUACUAGGCGUG
rnacentral:rRNA from 1 species